AGCGAACGCUGGCGGCAGGCCUAACACAUGCAAGUCGAACGAACUCUUCGGAGUUAGUGGCGGACGGGUGAGUAACACGUGGGAACGUGCCUUUAGGUCCGGAAUAACUCAGGGAAACUUGUGCUAAUACCGAAUGUGCUCUUCGGGGGAAAGAUUUAUCGCCUUUAGAGCGGCCCGCGUCUGAUUAGCUAGUUGGUGAGGUAAAGGCGCACCAAGGCGACGAUCAGUAGCUGGUCUGAGAGGAUGGUCAGCCACAUUGGGACUGAGACACGGCCCAAACUCCUACGGGAGGCAGCAGUGGGGAAUCUUGCGCAAUGGGCGAAAGCCUGACGCAGCCAUGCCGCGUGAAUGAUGAAGGUCUUAGGAUUGUAAAAUUCUUUCACCGGGGACGAUAAUGACGGUACCCGGAGAAGAAGCCCCGGCUAACUUCGUG
rnacentral:rRNA from 1 species